CAACGUACCUGGCAGGGGAGAUACCAUGAUCAAGGAGGUGGUUAACCCAGGGAGAGGCUACCAUUGCACUCGGUUAUGCUGACCCGGCGAAUUCCCCAAAUGUGGGAAUCGACUGCCAUUAAUUUGUGGUAGUGGAGGACUGCGUUCGCGCUCUCCCCGA